GGACUUCCUCUAUAGUCCUGACUGACCUGGAACUAAGUAGACCAGGCUGGCCUUGAACUCAUAACGAUCUGCUCGCCUCUGCCUUUUGAGUGCUGUAACUAAAGGCGAGGCCACUGCAACCAGCCCUUUGUUAUUUCUUUAUCGACUUUUCUGCCUUUAUGUUCUUGUUUGGAGGCUGGACUUCUCGGAUUCACUCUCGGUCUCUGCCUCUGCCCUUCUAGGUGGUUCCUAUUCUGGAGAUGGACUGACUUUCCCUUCUGGCCCUUCAUUGUAGCAGCUUUGGGUUCCAAGAGCCUUCCUUGGCUACUUCCUUUCCUCACUCUCUUGGUUUGGGGCAGCAGCCAAUAGAUAAAAGGUCAAAGGUCAAAGGGGAAAUUGCUGGAGUUGGUUCUCCUCUACCAUGUGGGCACUGGAGUUUGAUCAUCAGGC
rnacentral:lncRNA from 1 species